CCUACGGGAGGCAGCAGUGGGGAGGCUUCGGCAAUGGGGGAAACCCUGACCGAGCGACGCCGCGUGCAGGAUGAAGGCCCUUGGGUUGUAAACUGCUUUUGUUGGGGAAGAAGUGCGAUCAGGUGAAUAAUCUGGUCGUUUGACGGUACCCGACGAAUAAGCUCCGGCUAACUCCGUGCCAGCAGCCGCGGUAACACGGGGGGAGCAAGCGUUGUUCGGAAUCACUGGGCGUAAAGGGAGUCUAGGCGGUCAGGUAAGUGGGACGUGAAAUACCUCGGCUCACCCGAGGGGCUGCGUCCCAAACUGCUUGGCUUGAGUAUGGGAGAGGGUGUGGGAAUUCCUGGUGUAGCGGUGAAAUGCGUAGAUAUCAGGAGGAACACCGGUGGCGAAGGCGCACACCUGGCCCAAUACUGACGCUGAAGCUCGAAAGCUAGGGGAGCAAACGGGAUUAGAUACCCCAGUAGUC
rnacentral:rRNA from 1 species